CGGACGGGUGAGUAAUGUAUGGGGAUCUGCCUGAUGGCGGGGGAUAACUACUGGAAACGGUAGCUAAUACCGCAUAACGUCGCAAGACCAAAGAGGGGGACCUUCGGGCCUCGCGCCAUCAGAUGAACCCAUAUGGGAUUAGCUAGUAGGUAAGGUAACGGCUUACCUAGGCGACGAUCCCUAGCUGGUCUGAGAGGAUGAUCAGCCACACUGGGACUGAGACACGGCCCAG
rnacentral:rRNA from 1 species